ACUGCUAUCGGAUUGAUACUAAGCCAUGCGAGUCUUUGUAGUAAUACAAGGCAGACGGCUCAGUAACACGUAGUCAACCUACCCUAUGGACAAGAAUAAUCUCGGGAAACUGGGCAUAAUUCUUGAUAGAUCAUAAUGCCUGGAAUGGUUUAUGGUUAAAAUGAUUCGUCGCCAUAGGAUGGGACUGCGGCCUAUCAGCUUGUUGGUGAGGUAAUGGCCCACCAAGGCGAUUACAGGUACGGGCUCUGAGAGGAGAAGCCCGGAGAUGGGUACUGGGACACGGACCCAGGCCCUAUGGGGCGCAGCAGGCGAGAAAACUUUGCAAUGUGCGAAAGCACGACAAGGUUAAUCCGAGUGAUUUCUGCUAAAGAAAUCUUUUGCCAGUCAUAAAACCACUGGUGAAUAAGGGGUGGGCAAGUUCUGGUGUCAGCCGCCGCGGUAAAACCAGCACCUCAAGUGGUCAGGAUGAUUAUUGGGCCUAAAGCAUCCGUAGCCGGCUUUGUAAGUUUUCGGUUAAAUCCAUGUGCUCAACGCAUGGGCUGCCGAAAAUACUGCAUGGCUAGGGAGUGGGAGAGGUAGACGGUACUCAGUAGGAAGGGGUAAAAUCCUUUGAUCUAUUGAUGACCACCUGUGGCGAAGGCGGUCUACCAGAACACGUUCGACGGUGAGGGAUGAAAGCUGGGGGAGCAAACCGGAUUAGAUACCCGGGUAGUCCCAGCUGUAAACGAUGCAGACUCGAUGAUGCAUUGGCAUAAUAGCUAGUGCAGUGUCGCAGGGAAGCCGUUAAGUCUGCCGCCUGGGAAGUACGUACGCAAGUAUGAAACUUAAAGGAAUUGGCGGGGGAGCACCACAAGGGGUGAAGCCUGCGGUUCAAU
rnacentral:rRNA from 1 species